GUUAAAUUUGAAAUUCAGAUGCAUAACACAUUUUUUUUUUAGUAUGAGUACAUCCCAUGUAAUAUUUGGGACAUAUUUACAUGAAACAUUUAUUUAUUGCCUAUGUGUGUUUUUAUUUGCUAAAUCUGACAACCUAGCCUUAGAGGAUGAAUGGACAGAAGAGCUUCAACUCCCAGUGUUGUUGGUAUUGCAUGAUUUUGGUGGACAACAGCCACAGACAGUGCCCAGACCAGUGGAAGCAAUGAUAAAUCUGCAAGUAAAAACUAUUAGAAGAAUGCUGGAGAUAUUUUUUGGUUUGAAUACCAUGUUGUGGCAACAUCCUUCUUUUUUUAAAGUUCUGUCAAUUUGCAUUAAGUUGUUUUCUUAGCAAUUUUAUCAUAAGGAGGAGUCAGUGGAGGUGGAUAUGCUAUUUGGGGAUAAUCUUUCAAGAAAAAUGAUCCAAAAUACUCCAUAAGGAUGAGCCAAACAAAAUAGCAUUUGAAAGGAAAGAAGCUCAAGUGGUAGGUUAUACAAUUCAUGUUCCCCACACUAAGAACUUACUGACAAAAGCCAGCAAGCAUAUACAAAUAAGUCUUUUCACAUGUUGAUUAUCACCUGAAAUUUUAUCUGGAAUAUUAUUUCCAGGAUUAUAACAACAGAAGUGAUCAGAGACAAACUACACUGAGAAAGGAAAAUGUUACUGAAAGAGCAUUUGCAAACAUAAAGUCACCUACCUCACUUCAGAAACAUAAAACAGAUAAGUUGAUUUUAUAUAAGCUCCAGGAAUAUUGUAUGUGUGUCUCUCUUCUGUAGCUAAUUUGGACUGUAUGUACAUGCAGAGCUAUGUUUAAGAAAAGCCAGUUACCAUGGUGACACAGUACCCCAUCUAAAUGCAGAAUGAGAUAUCUAAUUUUGUGUGUUAACUAUUUGGCUGAAAAAUGAAGAAUGGCUUGGAAGCUACAGAUGGAUCAAGAAUAUCUCUCUAGGUUUCUUUAUCUUUGCCCUACCUCUGUCCUGGUCUGUCUCUUCUCCACUUAGACAAAAUACUAUUUUUUAUCCUUCAUUAUUAAGUUGAUGAUGCCGUUUUUCUCAGAUGCCUGAAUCUGACAAAAAUAACGCAGAAAGGCAAGGUACUUCUUUUAAGAUAGGACAAAACUUUGACAUAUUAAACAAGUAAAUUAAUCUUUAAAUAAUUGCCUUGUUAGUUCUCAUUAGAAGUGGCCUUUUCAAAAUAAAUCCCUAAUAUUAGAGCUUGUUGAUAUCUCUAAUUUUAGUCUUUUUCCUCCCACAUCCAGUCACAAGUAUUUUUAUUUUAGAGUCAUGCUCUCUGGCUGGAGUACAGGGAAGCUGUUUUACAUGAAAAAUGCUACACAAGUACAUAUGGAAAUGAACAAGAAUGUAUAAAUUCCAAUCUUCAAUCUUUUUAAUUAUUUUUUUUUCUUUGAGACAGAGCCUUGUUCUGUUGCCCAGGCAGGAGUGCAGUGGUGCAAUCUGGGCUCGCUGCAACCUCCGCCUUCCGGGCUAAAGCGGAAGCCUCCCAAGUAGCUGCGAUUACAGGCAGGAGCCACUGCGCCCAGCGAAUUUUUGUAUUUGUAGCAGAGACGGGGUUUCACCAUGUUGCCCAGGCUGGUCUCAAACUCCUGACCUCAAGUAAUGGGCCUGCCUCAGCCUCCCAAAGUGCUGGGAUUGCAGGUGUGAGUCCCUGUGCCCAGUCAAGAAUAUUUUUUAAAAAUCCAAUAUCUAAUAAGUGUUCUUUCAAUAUUCACAACAACAAGUGAUACCUAAGAGACACAUUUUCCAUGACUUUGUGCUUAUGCACUUGCUCAUUUGUUGGAUCAAUGGCAGAGGUACUCUCAGGGGAAACUACCACAGGGUAAGAAAGAGGCCUGAUAAGAUACUGACUAAAGCCAAGUCUUCGUUAACAAUGGUCUAAUGGGUAGUCAUUGCAUGGGUCAUGAAUCAAACACAUAACCACCAGCCAAUCUUCUUAUGAAGUUAAAUAUAAUAAAUACAUUAUUAGUUUUUAUCUCUUCUACCUUUUACCACAUUGUCGUUGCUAUCCAAAUAAACUGAGCAUACAAAAAUCAGUUACUGGGUGAACAGAAAAAUGAAAAUAUGCUUCACCAGUCGCCACACAGAAAAGUCAUGGCUGGGAAGGCCAAGAAAGAGCAGUUGCCUGUUUCUAAUAGGUAGUGAAUUUAGUCUUUCCUGAUUCAAGCAAGUGUCUGAUGCACUUUAAAGUGACAUUGCACUUAGUGAUAUAAGAAUCUUUUUAAAAAAGACUAUCUGACCUUCUAAGCACUCAUAAUAUAGUAUAGAAAUAGGACUAUAGAGCUUGUAACUGGAAUCAGUAAGUUUUAAGGUGGUACUCUUUGUGACUUUAAUAUCUAAAGCCCCUGUGAGUCCAUUAAUGUAAAACGUGUAACUUGUUCACUAUACAGCUGGGAGUCUUUAAAUGCCAUACAUAGUAAGAGAAUUUCUGACUUUGGAAGAAUUCAAACUAUUCAAAGUAGAUGGUAACAGAAAGUACAAAUUCUAGUGCUGUGUCAGUGAACAGAACUAAUCCAUGGAGUACAGGAUAUAGGAGUUAUAUUGUGUGUGAUCUCACUGUAUACUUAUGUUUUUCCUCUUUGUGUAAGUGAUCAUGAAAAUUUAUGAUACAUCUAUUUUAUUUGUUUGCACAGCUAAAUGCUCAUUACCAAGAAAACUUAACAAUUGCUUUUCUGGUAAGAUUUCAGAACCAUUCACUACAAAUUUUGGGGCAACUGUAAUGGCAGAAUGAACCAUCCUCAGGAGAGUGAAAUGGACAUUAGGGUUCUCUUCUCCUGCUCAGAUCUAGUAAUUGUGCAGGUGAACCGAGAUUUGGUGGAACUCUUUAAAAGAAAAUUCUUCUUUGUUCUCCGCAGGGUGCGGUGUGGCUCACGAC
ensembl:lincRNA